CAGCUAGUUGGUGAGGUAACGGCUCACCAAGGCUAUGAUCGUUAGCUGGUCUGAGAGGAUGGCCAGCCACACUGGAACUGAGACACGGUCCAGACUCCUACGGGAGGCAGCAGUGGGGAAUCUUGCACAAUGGGCGAAAGCCUGAUGCAGCGACGCCGCGUGGGGGAUGAAGCUUUUCGGAGUGUAAACCCCUUUCGACCCGGACGAAUGCCCCGCAAGGGGACUGACGGUACGGGUAUAAGAAGCCCCGGCUAACUACGUGCCAGCAGCCGCGGUAAGACGUAGGGGGCCAGCGUUGCUCGGAAUUACUGGGUGUAAAGGGUUCGUAGGCGGUGUGGCAAGUCGGGAGUGAAAUCUCUGGGCUCAACCCAGAGGCUGCUUCCGAAACUGCUGUGCUUGAGUGUGGGAGAGGCGCGUGGAAUUGCAGGUGUAGCGGUGAAAUGCGUAGAUAUCUGCAGGAACACCCGUGGCGAAAGCGGCGCGCUGGACCACAACUGACGCUGAGGAACGAAAGCUAGGGGAGCAAACAGGAUUAGAUACCCUGGUAGUCCUAGCCCUAAACGAUCAGGACUUGGGGUGCUUCACGUUCGUGGAGCGUCCCGGAGCUAACGCGUUAAGUCCUGCAC
rnacentral:rRNA from 1 species